AUUUAAAGAGUUUGAAGAUCGACCAAUUGCUGCUGCUAGUCUCGGUCAGGUUCAUCGUGCUAUUCUGCAUAAUGGAGAAAAAGUAGUAGUCAAAGUUCAAAGGCCAGGUCUGAAGAAGCUUUUCGACAUUGAUUUGAAAAACUUAAAACUGAUCGCAGAGUAUUUCCAGAGAAAUGAAGCUUUUGGGGGUCCACUCAGAGAUUGGAUUGGAAUAUAUGAAGAAUGUGCAACUAUUCUGUAUCAAGAAAUUGACUAUAUAAAUGAAGGAAAGAAUGCUGACAGGUUCCGACGAGAUUUUAGAAACAUAAAGUGGGUUCGAAU